AUUGAGCGUCAUAAAAGCUUGGAUGCGAGCAUCCAGGAGGAGAAUUUCGAUCGAAGUACAGGUAAACAAGUCGGAGAAUGUCACCUGUUUCUUGUGUAUUCUUGGGGGAAAUCGAAGUGUCUUGUAUCAUACCUGGAUGGAAUAGUUUUGUAAUCACCAUUCCAAUUAAUUUAUUAACAGAUUUUUCUUGAAUUCGACAACAAUGACGUUAAUACCAGCUGAUAAAAGAGGAAUAGUGUAAGUGCCCGAUGGAUACGAACGUCAUCUUGUGACUGCAUCAUCUUUGUUUGGAAAAUGCAUAUAAUUUGGAAAAGAGACCACCAAUCCACUGGGGGGUAUCGCAUGAAAGCAAUGGUAUUACAGAAUAUUGUAAAGCUGGACGAGUUAUAGUGAAACAGGUAUAUGUCUGCUCAUCUGGCAAUCUUUGGACAUCACUGGAUGGUACUUCCAGCAUGAAGACCAGCUAGUUGCCUCACCUGUCUUGACAUUGUUAAAGUACUUUCAGACAGUGAAAAGACAUGGCUCUAAAUUACUGCAUCAGAGAUCUAUCCAGUUUAUAAAUCUGAGGAAAACAAUAAAGCAUCAUUUGGAGCUACUUAUAUCACUGCCUUAACGAGUUGUCUGCCGACAGGGCAUCCUUAAAAACUUCAGUCGCACUCGUCACUUAGAAUAGAAAACUUCAUAAUUUUAUAACUUUUGUAUCAAUCCUUUUGCACUUCAUCUGACUUGGAAUUUCAGUAGCCUUUACAUGUAACAUCCUUCAAGCAUUUCAUGAAGUACCAAUUUGCAGGUGUAAAAUGUUUGUCCCAAAUGAAACAAAAAAAAAAUUCUCUGGCAGUUAGCAGUGUCAUGAGCAGUUGAUUGAUGUCACAGUUCCACCGGCAUAGUAUUUAUAGUUGAAUGGUGCCAUUUUUAAGAAAACUUUUCACAAAAACCUGGAAAACAUCAGAUGGAAAGGAGCAUCUACAAGAAAAACAGUGAACACUUUCUUGAAUAUUAACAAUGAUAUGUCAUGCCCCAUUUACAUCCUUUAUAUAAACUAAUUAACCAAAUCAUAGAGAAUUAUAUACAAAUUUGUCCUUUUGUGUAUUUAUAGUGUAUUAAAUUGAUUU